AAAAGAAAGAAAAAAUUUGUGAAAAAUUAAGUGAAAAUUCAAACUCCAAUGCCUGUUAUCAACUGGCCCAGCGUGAAGGAUUCUUUUCACAUAUACCAGGAUGCUUUACAGCAUGCUCUUGGAUGCCCAACACUACAUUUUCAUUGGUAGGGAGUUCAGGAGGGGCAUCAGGCCAUGGUGUGCGUUUUGAUGGUACAUUGACAUCCAGAGGAGGAUCAAUUAUCCAUCUGUAAAGAGACCACACUAAUGUCAAAUGCAUGUGCAUAGGAAGAGAUUCUGCUAAAUGAAUUUUAAUUAAAUAGGCAAUUGACUGUCAUGAUUUUUGUGUGUCAAUGAUAUAUAUUGAAA